AAUGCUUGAGCCCAUUGUUGCAGCCACUGUGUCAGUCCAUCUUGUUGAGAGUCUUCCUCUUUUUUGCCGUCCCUCUACUUAGAUGAUCUUAAUGAAACUUUUUAAGGAGCCCAGUGGUGGGAAACUUACAGAAAAUAUAGACUGACUGUCCAGUUCAUGUGGGAAAUAUAUUUUAAAGACAUCUGAAAUUGGGAUAGCCUGCAAAUACUGAACUAUACUAAACCUGGAGAUAAAAGAGACAUGCUACUAUCGUCAUACCCUUGGAAGCAGCCCGGCCAUACAUAAAAUUCAUUUAAAAAAAAAAAUCAAGGUGAGGGGUUAUCAUUUGGAAAGAGCACAUGACUGAGCAUAGUGAACUUUCAAAUAUUUGAGAGCAAAGAUUAUGAUUCCUUGAAUGCUGACAACUUUCCUUACACAUAAAAUUAUUUCUACAUGUCAGUUUAAUUCCAUGCGAUGCCAUUGUUCCAUGAAAGUUUUUGUUUACUUGUUUGUUUUCUGUUAGUUUUAAAGAAACACUACCUUAUUUCUUCUACUGAGAAAUAUAGAUGAUCAACUUCCUAUAUGGGCAUUGGAAGGAUUUAAUCAUGUAGAUAACAUGGAUGGUAUCAUGUUUCUAUUUAGAUUUCUUUUUUCUUUAUUUUGCUACUCCAUUUUUGUCAACAAACAAUCUACAUCAUCUGAACUAUAUUAAAUAAUCUUAAUCUCCUAGAACUAUAGUGUCCAAUUCAUAAAUUGGAACUUCUCAGAAUCUGAGGUUUGCAGUAGACUACAAGUCAGCUCAGGAAGCUUAACUCUCGCAGAGCACAAUGAUUUCUGACUCUGUAAGCUGGGGUGUUAGGGCAGUGUUCUGAGUCCCCACUGCCUGUAGUGCCAAUACUCACAAGGUUGAGGGAGGCUUUUGUUUUUACAAGCUUGCUCUUUAUGCAGGAUGCACCUUAUAAGACCAGGGUAACCUUGGGUUUAUUAUGUAUGAUAAAUGCUAUCUGGAAGUCUGAAAACAGGUUAAACAGAUAAUUGACCAUGCUGUACAUUUCCCUCUCGGAAAUGAGAAAGAGAAGAGAUUUAAGCAUUGAGACUGUGAAAUGGAUGCAUGGAAAUAGUUACAGAAAAGUUUCUAGGAAGUGCCUUACACCUAGUGGGUGCUUAGUGAAUGUUUUUAUUUUUAUAGUUUUAAUUAUAAGUAUAUGCAUAAGUUUUCUUUUUUUGAUAAACCAACUGCUGUUUGUUCUGUCUGAGGCAAAUAGUGAUUGAAAGUUGACAAACAGAGGACUUUUAUCCUCCAAUUUCUGAUACAGAACUGAGACAGGACUGUUAUAAAGAAUAUAUUGACAGGAAUAGUUGGAAGAUAAUAGGCACAAUUAAUGCAUCUUGUAUAUUCUUGAUGGAUAGUUCUCUCCCAAGAAAGUCACCUAUUGUUAUUUUUAUGGUAGAUGCUUAUAGAGCACCUGGGUGUUAUUAUAUUGCAUGAUGUUGAAUUUUUUUUUCUGCACUAUAAGCUAUUGUUAUCAUGAAAAAAAUACUUAAUUUUCCUGAGACUCAGAUACUCAUCUAUAAAAUGGGAAUUUUAACACAACUCCUAGGGAUUUCAUGAAUAUUGAAUGAUAAUUAUAUAUGAGUGUGUGUAUGAGUAUAUAUGUGUAUAUGUGUAUACACACACACAUACAGAGAGAGUGAGUGAGUGUGUGCGAGUGCAUGUUAGCAUGAGAGCAGCUAGUAGUAUUCCUGGCACAUGGUUAGAUUGUAAAUGCUUAUUUUUUCCCCAUUCCCUUCCUCUUUUAGAUUUGGAAUGCAUUCCCUAAGACCAAAGCAAAUUGUUAGCCUGGCACAUAUUUAGCAUUCAGUAUAUGUUGCUUGCCUGCCUGCCUUCCUCCUUACUUUCUACUUUACUUUGCUUCUCAAGUAAAUAUGAAUAUAUAUUUAUUCAAAAUAAUAAUAUGUUAGUAAUAAAGCAAUUGCUAUGCAUUUUAUGUGUUGGGAAAAUAUCUCAAGCAUCACAUUGUCACUUCAGGACUGAGUCUGCACUGUGACGUAAGUAAUCCAUUGUAACUCCUCUUAGCCUCACAUAGUUAUUUUUGUUGUAGUUCAUUUUUACACUGCGGUCAAUUAAUUCCAAUUUAUUUGUAGAGAUAAAUAUUUUGUUUAUAUAAAGAAAUGAAUAUUUUGUUCUGUGUUUGUACCCUUUAUCAUAUUCAUUCGAAGACUUUUUUUCUUACACUCAAGUGUUAGGACUGGGUUGUUAGUAUCACAUAAUUAUAAAUUCACGCAUUUUAUAUGUAAAUAUGUUUUUUAAAUACUGAUAGAAUAAGCAAUUUAAUAUGAAAAUUAUAUAUUGAAAUAUUUAUUGAUUAACUGACUAGGCAACAGGAAUGUAAAGUCCAGAAGCCUUAAAAAUUGUGACCCUAACUUCCUAUCAUAGUAUUUUGGAGACCUGAUUCCUUGUUCUUUAUUGAAUAGAUGAUUCCACUUGAAAGGGAUGUUUACUGAAGUAUACUGAUAAUGAAUUUCAAUUUUAUAUAGUAUUCCUUUGAAGAACUUUUUCUGUGUGUUUGGCCAUAUUGCUUUAAUAAUGGUGCCUUUGAUGGUUGAAGAACUAUUUCUGUUUUUACUAGCCUUGAAUUUCGUACCACAAAUAACAGUGAGGUUGUUUUAUUACACUCUGGUUCUCUCAGUGCAAGGAUUAGGAGGGUCAAUUUAUGUCCAAGCUUACUCCAUUAUUUGUUACAGAGCCUGGUAAACAUUACAAAUGGAUAUCACAAUUGGAUUUUGAAUCAAUAACUUCAGACACUGAACCACAUGUUUUAAUGAGAAGCUGGAUUUUCCUUGCAAUGGUCACAUAAUGCUAUUAGUUUCUUGAAGAUAUAUUAGAGUCAGAAAAGAUAAAUAUAAACACACAAAGUACCGCAAGGUUUUCAAAUGCCGUUAUAGUUCACUCUUCUGAAAGGCUUGCUAAAGUCAACCACAGUUCUUUUUUCUAUGCUUUGUUACUCUUGGCCACGGUAGAAUAAUUUAAAAAUCAUGUAUGAUAUAUACUCUGAAUGCAUUGCUUAUUUGAAGAUUCACUUUGCUUUUAACAGAAAGUCUUAUUGAUGUAUCUGUGAGGUAUCUAAUCUCUUAGCUGGAACAGAUGAUAUGACUUACUUGAAGAUGAGCUAAGAGCCCUCUGAGGUGUAUGUAAAAUAAAUUCACAUUUUUGUGGGCUUGUCUAUUUUCAGCAGGAAUAAAAAGGAAUUGUCUCGUAUUUCAUAUAAUAUCUUCUCAUCUUAGAAUACGGAAUGCUUACUAGUGAAACCAUGAGCACCUACAAGUAUAUAAUUAAUGAAAUGCUUAGGCAGGCUAGGUUUUGGAAAUAUUCUAUAUUUCAGUGGAAUAUCCUUUAAAAUUUCUCUUUUAACAAUUUCUCUUGGAAUUGGAUAUCUGGACUAUGAUAACUAGUAUUUACUCUGACUUUUACGUUUUAUUCCUGCAUGCAACUAGCGUUUUUAUUUUUUUCUUACUUCAGAGGAAUAAGAUGAAGCAAGGUCAUGGUCACCGUUAAUACUAAAUAAUGCCCUCACUUUUCUAAUGAACACAUUAAGGCAGCCACUCUUGUACUGAAACUGGAGUUAAUUUCCUUCCUUUUUCUAGAACUCCAUGAUACUGAUUGUAACAUUUUGAUUCUAGGCAUGAAUGUUUCAUUCCGGUACAAUGCUGCAAUGCUCCCAAGCAACAACCCAGUUAGCAAUGCAUUAGUCAGGGUAAAAGGAUAUUCUACAAAUGGGGGCUGUAGAACCAAAGGCGAAAAUAUUACCAUUUUAAAGAGAAGAUCAUUGUAUUUUUUUCUGUUUAUUCCUGUCCAAAAAGGACCCUUUUCAUCUUAGGUAUGGUAAGCAUAUUCUUGGAAAUCAUAUCCUUUGCAAAAGAUUGUACUUGUUUUCUAUAAUUUGUCUUGGGAAAUGAAAAAAAAAAUGAGAUCGGAUCAAAGAAAAUGUAGCUACAUUUAAAUCACUAUUCAUUAUUACUCCCUAUCUCCUAGAAACUCAGCACUGGGGUGAAACCUAGAACAUCUCCGAAUGGUGACUUAUAUAAUUUGAAUUUUUCCCUGAGCUUUGUGAUAACUAUGGGGCAUUUUAUUGGAUUUUACUUUUUGUCUGAUCAGAAUUAAAACUUUUAGCACAGAAAUAAAUAUCAAAAGACUGAUAUAUAUGCUACAAAUUGAUUCAUUUCUUUAUAGGUAAAAUGGUCAGCAUGCUAUGACUAACAGCAUAAUACUACUGCUAGGCUUUGCUGAAGAUUGCACGUUUCACCCCAUAAUGUUUUCACUUUUCGUACUCAAUUGGGAAUCUAAGUCUUCAGAAAAUUUGAAUCUUAUUUUGUGGUGUAAAUUGGAAAACAUAUAAUUCUUUGAAAGUCAUUUUUUGGAAAAAAAUUUUUUUUGUAUGGUGUGUGGCUCAGUAGGAUUCAUAGGUGUAUAAACUUUAGAGUUUUAUUUGUUAUAGGUAAAGUUUUCUAUUAUAACAGGCACAUCCAUAUAGUAUCACCAAAUUGUAACUUAUAUGCAUCAAAUACUUUGUUUGACCAGUGCUUAGUUAAUUUUAUGUGAGGUUUAGGAGGUAAUGGUGUAUAAAGUGCUAUUUGGUUAUUGAAGCAGAUUUGUUUUGUCUCUUAGUAGCAAUUUAGAUUAAAAAUUAGGCAAAUAGGAUUGCGGUUUGUUUUGAACAUCUUAUUUAUUCGACUGUAACAAAAAUACUUCAUUCAGUGCUCACUAUUAGAUGUCUGUUCAAAGUGCUUAUGUCAUACCAGUUUUCUAAGGCAUAUGUAGCUUGAAAUGGGAUUCUUAGAUAUAUUUGAAAUAGUUUUCUAUGCAGAUGGGUUUAAUAGAAAAACAUACAAGAUACCUGAGCAAGUUCUUGCUGACCUAUACAAUACCUGCAUCCUAAUAGGUCGUAUUUCAGCUCCGACGUUUUUGACAAAUAGCCUUGCUCUUAAAAAGCUCUGUCCGUGGUGCUGAAACGUCUCAUGAUGUAUGAGCAUGUCUUGCUGAUAAAUUCUAAUGUCAGCCUCUGUGUGAUAGUGAUUCAUCAGAUUGUAAAAUUUGUGUUCAUGAAACACAUUGAAUUAGCAAGUUCCAUGUUUUAGGUGUGUGAAAAUUAACACAGUUUGUCCUUUUGUUUUAAAGAGUUCAUAACAAUUACUUUCCACAUUGUCAGAAACAGCUAGGGUUUAAUUAGACACUGUCAUUGCUAUCAAAAAAGCAUAUAUCCAAUAUUAACAAAUAAACUGAUAUUACAAAAAUGUACUGGAAAUGUUUACAGGCCAGUGACAUGUAUGCAGGAAGCUACUAUAAGAAAAUUUAACUACUUGAUUGUAAACAGGCACGUAGCAAUUAACAUGGAACUUUUUAGCUUUGUAGAACAAAUAAUCAAUUUGCCUUUAAAAUCAUGUCUUAUUAGAUGAUUUUUUAUUGUUUCAGAAUGUUUCCUUUUUAAUAAAAUACAUUUAUUUUACAAGACUGUAGGUUUUUUGUUUGUUAACAUGGCAAAAACCCUAAAAGAUCUUGGUCUUUUUUUCCAAGUGAAAUCCUUAUAUUUCUUAUAUAAGAUUUUUAAAUAAUUAAUAACAUCCUUGGCAUUUCAAUUCAAUGAUUCUCAGUUGUUUUAAGCUGUGGAUUUUAAGUGCCUUGAAUAUAGUCAUAGAGGCCUGCACAUAAGUAAUUUUUUUUUCAUUUACUCUAAAUUAGUUAUAGAAGCAUUUUAGAAAGCUCUUCCUUUAGUUAACAAAAUUGUCUCUUAAUUUCUAUUGUACUCUGAAUUAUCUGAUUUAUGUCAUUUUUUAAUUCAUGUGAUCUAAAUAAAAAGGUAUAAUUUCAUAAAUGAACUUGAUAAACUUCUACUAUUAAUCCAAUAUGUAUUUAAAAUGAUUUUCUAAAACCAGAAUCUUGGAAUGGGAUAUGUUUCCUUGCUACAUUUGCAACAUAACAAAGUAGUAAGUUGUUUGUUUAUUAUUAUAGUGAAGCUUGUUAAAUGUUUAGAAUCACAGAGAGAUUUGAAAAUUAUUUCUAGGUUGUAGGUCCUACAGAUAUUUGGCAAUGUUCUCUGCAAAUCAAGCAGCCCUGAAGCUGAGUGACUACUGAUUAUUAAAAUAAGACUUUUCAGUUGAUCCAAUACUGGAUUUGCAUUAUCUGAACCUAAUACCUAAAUCCACUCCAAAAGCUGCUUGCUAAGACAAGAAAAAAUUUAAGUGAAUACAUAAUUUCCUGAAGGAUUUGUUUCUGUCAAUAGUUAAAGGGUUAAGUACAAUGUUAUUAAUU